rfam:Camelus ferus unplaced genomic scaffold scaffold380, whole genome shotgun sequence.
GGGGGUAUAUCUCAGUGGCAGAGCGCGUGCUUAAUGUGCAUGAGGUCCUGAGUUCAAUCCCCAGUGCCUCCA